UACGUAGGUCCCGAGCGUUGUCCGGAUUUAUUGGGCGUAAAGCGAGCGCAGGUGGUUUAUUAAGUCUGGUGUAAAAGGCAGUGGCUCAACCAUUGUAUGCAUUGGAAACUGGUAGACUUGAGUGCAGGAGAGGAGAGUGGAAUUCCAUGUGUAGCGGUGAAAUGCGUAGAUAUAUGGAGGAACACCGGUGGCGAAAGCGGCUCUCUGGCCUGUAACUGACACUGAGGCUCGAAAGCGUGGGGAGCAAACAUG
rnacentral:rRNA from 1 species